UACGUAGGGAGCGAGCGUUGUCCGGAUUUAUUGGGCGUAAAGGGCGUGUAGGCGGCUUGUUAAGUCUGGAGGUGAAAAAUCCAGGGCUCAACCCUGGAACUGCCUCGGAUACUGGCGAGCUUGAGUACUCUAGAGGGCAGUGGAAAUUCCGGGUGUAGCAGUGAAAUGCGUAGAUAUCCGGAGGAACACCAGUGGCGAAGGGCGGCCGACUGGG
rnacentral:rRNA from 1 species